GGGGCCGAUAAAAAACGAUGAUGGCGUGCCAUUGGUGAAGGGGGUGGGCGGAAAAGAUCAGAAAAACGACGAUUGCGAUCGACGGAAAUCGUCCAACGAUUUUCGUCGUCGUCCAGGAAGAGGAGGAGAAAACAACGACAAAAAAAAAAAAGAGUUGUAACCUUUACAUUUCCACCGGCACGGAAGCCGCGCGCACGCACUCACUGACGAACACGACGCAACUUACGCAUUCCAAAUAACCGAAUUGGACCGCGGUGGUGUCGUACGCGAAGAGCGCGUCAUGUACGUGAGAAAAACAAUCGGUUUCUUGUGGAUGUUGAUCAUGGCGAUUACUCUGUGGAACAAAGACGCCAGGGGCCUGCCCAGGGGCACCAAGACGGUGGUACGGUUCGACAAGUUGGAGUUGUUGAUGAACGCCAGCGUGGGUCGGGUUCUGGAGCGGGACAUGGUGUCGUACGGCGGCACCGACUACAUGAACGUCAUCCUUGCAUUCCACCAAGAUUUCGUCAUGCACAAGUUGCGAUUGCAGGCCAGCAGGUGCAAGGAGCACUACAUCGACUGCACCGACCACCGGUCGUUUGACGUGCAGCCCUUGUGCGGCAACGAGCGAGCGAUGCUGCACUUUAUGCGGUUCGGCUACGUAAACCGCGAGCUGACGUGCCGGUUCGCCAAGGGCCAGCUCGUCACCCAGAACGUGACGCUCAACGUGGACAACUCUGUCAUAUCCAUGGCCAUCGCGCUGGAACGGUGGUGGGAAAAAUCGUGGCGGUGGACAAUCCGAUUUCAGGGGGCCGACGGCAACGAGCUGUUUGGGUUCGACGGCGCGCACCAUACGCCGCUGCUGAGCACAGUGCGGCCGCGGGCCCGGUCAUGAGCGGCGCCCUGACUGACCGGGUCCCGGAGAGAGACUGGGUGGCUGGCGUUGAGAGGGUGCCGGCACCUUCGAUAUCGUCAGACGUCGUCACCGCUGCCGAAUAAAUACAAUAAUUAUAAUAAUUGUAAUGAUAAUAAUAACAAUAAUUGGUAAUAAUGAUAAUAACAAUAAUUAUAAUAAUAAAAACAAUAAAAAAAUCAAAUA